CUCCUCCCUGAAGCUGUAAUUUUAACCAGCUGUAGUAACAUUUAACUUGACAAUAUUUCUGGAAUAAAUUAUUUCAGUUUUUUUUUAUAUAUAUAUUUGCUGUGGUUGAUCGUUUGGGGUAAAUGUAAGGAUUUGCAAAAGAAAUUUGGCCAAUUUCGGGCUUGCAAAUGCCUUUCAGCAAGUGAAGCUUGGAACCGCAGCAUAGCUAAUUGGGACAGAAAUAGCCCACAGCAGAAACAGACAGACGCUGUACAAAGGAUAGAAAACAUCACGUAGAAUCGUGUGAGUUUAGAACAAAUGUCCAAAACCUCUACAU